rnacentral:tRNA from 1 species
GCCAGGCUGGCACAGUCAGUGGAGCACGUGACUCUUGAUCUCGGGGUUGUGAGUUCAAGCCCCACGUUGGGCA